rnacentral:tRNA from 1 species
GGCGGCGUAGCUCAGCUGGUUAGAGCAGCGGAAUCAUAAUCCGCGGGUCGUCGGUUCGAGUCCGACCGCCGCUAUCA